AUGGGGUGUGAUUUUAUCACACUGAGAGUUGAGGUGGAAUCCUCUCCUGAGACAAUAGAAGAUGCUGCUGUCAGAGGAAAGAAUGAAAACAGUGCCGGAACGCCAGAGUCCAAAAUGGUGAGGGGAAGUGAAAAUGAGGAGAAGUGUAGAGCAGACACUUUAAUGUUUUUAAAAUGUGAGAGCACCAGUGAAAAGGGCAAGCCCCAACAGAAAGUUGAAAUAGAAUCAAAAGCUGCCAAACGAGUUGGGGAGGGACUGGGAUUGGGGUUGCCCUCGCCCCGAGGCCCUGGCCUCAGUCUGCCCCCUCCAAUUGGCGGUGCCGGCCCCCCGCCGGGGCUUCCCAAGCCAAAGAAGAGGAAAGAGCCCGUGAAGAUCGCGGCGCCGGAGUUGCAUAAGGGAGAUUCAGAUUCUGAGGAAGAUGAACCCACAAAGAAGAAAACUAUCCUUCAGGUUGCUCCUGCCCCAUGCCUUCUCCCGCAAACCCUCGGAUGGCUCCCCUGAUACUAAGCCCUCCAGACUGGCUUCUAAGACCAAUACUUCCUCUCUUGCCCCUGUUGUGGGCACCACAACCACCACUCCGUCGCCCUCUGCUAUCAAGGCUGCUGCCAAGAGUGCUGCCCUGCAGGUGACAAAGCAGAUCACGCAGGAGGAAGACGACAGUGAUGAGGAAGUAGCCCCCGAAAACUUUUUCUCCCUCCCUGAAAAGGCCGAGCCACCUGGAGUUGAGCCAUACCCUUACCCCAUCCCCACUGUCCCUGAAGAGCUGCCUCCAGGCACGGAACCAGAGCCGGCUUUCCAGGACGAUGCAGCCAAUGCCCCCCUUGAAUUCAAGAUGGCAGCAGGCUCAAGUGGGGCCCCUUGGAUGCCUAAGCCUGGGGAUGACUACAGCUACAAUCAGUUUUCCACAUAUGGCGAUGCCAAUGCUGCUGGUGCUUAUUAUCAGGAUUAUUACAGUGGUGGCCACUAUCCUGCACAGGACCUGGCCCUGGUCCCACACCCCAGGAAAUUGCCCCAGAUGCCUCCUUCAUCGAUGACGAAGCAUUUAAGCGGAUGCAGGGCAAGAGAAACCGAGGGAGAGAAGAAAUCAACUUUGUGGAGAUUAAAGGUGAUGACCAGCUCAGUGGGGCCCAGCAAUGGAUGACUAAGUCAUUGACAGAAGAGAAAACCAUGAAGUCAUUCAGCAAAAAGAAAGGUGAGCAGCCAACAGGCCAGCAGCGGCGGAAACACCAGAUCACACAUCUUAUUCAUCAGGCCAAGGAGCGGGAGCUGGAACUGAAGAACACUUGGUCGGAGAACAAGCUCAGCCGCCGUCAGACCCAAGCCAAAUAUGGAUUCUAGGGCUCUGGAACUGAUGGCUCCCAGGAUCUCCUGCCAGCCCAGCUGGCCUGGCCCCCAGCUUCACCUCUGGGACCCCAGCAGCUGCUCUAAGCCCAGGAUCUCUUUCCCCAAGGACCCAGCCCUCGCCUCUGCGAGAAUGAACAUAUUUGAUAGAUUUUUCUUAACAAGUUAGAAAAUUCAGCUCCUGUCUGUCCUGGAGCUAGCAAAGACUUGUGUGAUGCCUCUGAAGGGGCUCUGAGUUCUGGAAUGGGAGUUUUGCUCCCUGUCAGGUGUGAUGAAAUGUUGAACCCUCCCCACCACCACUUUUUUUUUUUUUUUUAAACCAGGGAUGUCUGUUGAAAUAAAACAUUCAGUCUGACAAAAAAAAAAAAAAAAA